UUCUGAUUGACUCCUCUAGAGAGCUCCUUGCCUUCCCUUCUCACCACCAGCCUCAUCCACUAGAGGUUGCUCUUAUAUCUAAUCCACGAUUACUCUUGGCAGCACAAUCCCUUCAAACCACACAUUUUGAGUAACAGAAACCCUGAAGACAGCUAAAGGAUGUCAAGAUACUCAAGACAUCUUUUUCAUGACAAAAAUCAUGCAGGGAAUUUCAGCUGUUCUACAUUCUCGCCAAUAUUCUGUAUGGUCCUAUAUACGAGAGCUUAAAGAACUCAUUACCGCCAGUUCUCCACUAGAAGAGAUGUUAAAGGAAGUCCUUCUUUCAAGUAGAAAAAAAUGUCAUCGGAUAGAAAUAUAAAUUUACACAGAAGAAUAAAAAGCACCAGAAAUGCUACCAACAUGGGAGGCCUGCAGCUGUGUUCCAGAUCACGAGGAAGUGUAAGCAGGAUGAUACUUUCUUCCCCAAAAGCUGUCCAUGCUUCAUUCCCGGAAACCUGUGAAUGUUACAUCCCAUUGCACAAGGGACUUUUGCAGAUGUGAUUAAGGGUAUGGACUUUAUAACGAAUGGCCUAGAUCCACCCAGGCUCCAGUGGAACACAGCUUCAUAUUCAGAAAUGUAAAUCAGAAGCUUAGUCAUAUUUAUUAAACAAACCAUUAUGGAUCAAACUUUAUUUGGAUAAACCACAAGAUUCACAGAUAGAAAGAAACCCUGGGGAAUGCAACAUUUUCAUAAUUUAAAAAAUUUAAUGCGCAAGAAAGAGACUUUGACUUCUCCAUUUCUAAAAGAUAGUCUCUAGAAAUGAUUGAAGAUAAACAUAAAAAUUUGACUUCAAGGAUAUUCUCUGUUGCAGUGAAUGGAUACAACCCAGAUGUUCAAAAACAAGAAAUAACUAUAUAAAAUUUAGCACAAACAUCCAAUGGAACGCUAUGCAAUAAUU
rnacentral:lncRNA from 1 species